GACGAACGCUGGCGGCGUGCUUAACACAUGCAAGUCGAGCGGUAAGGCCCUUUCGGGGGUACACGAGCGGCGAACGGGUGAGUAACACGUGGGUGACCUGCCCUCAGCUCUGGGAUAAGCCUGGGAAACCGGGUCUAAUACCGGAUAUGACUCCAUGACGCAUGUUGUGGGGUGGAAAGCCUUGUGCGGCUGAGGAUGGGCCCGCGGCCUAUCAGCUUGUUGGUGGGGUGAUGGCCUACCAAGGCGACGGCGGGUAGCCGGCCUGAGAGGGCGACCGGCCACACUGGGACUGAGACACGGCCCAGACUCCUACGGGAGGCAGCAGUGGGGAAUCUUGCGGCAAUGGGCGAAAGCCUGACGCAGCGACGCCGCGUGAGGGAUGACGGCCU
rnacentral:rRNA from 1 species